UAUUAAAUUCAACUUUAUCAUGUGUUUUCCUGCUCUCUCCCCAGGACACGCUGUGUGUGUAGAAUGAACCAAAGCUGUGUAAAGGAGGGGUGUCCCUCCCAGAGAACAAGACCUCUCCGUGUAGUAGCAUGGACCUCUUGGUACAGGAGCACCAGUGGCCUCUGGAUGGAGUGAAGGCAAGACCAGACUUGUUCCAUAAGACCACCAACAAAGUCCUAAAUGCAAACUUCUACCGGUAGGUUUAUGUUCUCUACAUCUUAAAACACAUUCUAAAACAACCUCUUCUGUGGAUACUGUUAUUGAGGCCCAGCUAGUAGUUUUUAGUAGCUCUUACACAGUAGUACCCUGCUGUUUUUUCACCAUAU
rnacentral:lncRNA from 1 species